rnacentral:tRNA from 1 species
GGAUUGUGGCUCAGUGGUACAGCGCUCGCUUAGCAUGCAUGAAGCACUGGGUUCAAUCCUCAGCACCA